AGGAUGAACGCUGGCGGCGUGCCUAACACAUGCAAGUCGAACGUCCUGUCUCGCAAGAGGCAGGGAGUGGCGGACGGGUGAGUACCACGUGGGUCAUCUACCGUGAGGUGAGGAAUACCGGCGAGAAAUCGCCGACAAGACCGCAUAGCCUCGGUGCAAGUCGAGGAAAGCUCUCUCGAGAGAGGGAGCGCCACACGAGGAGCCUGCGCCCGAUUAGCUAGCUGGUGGGGUAAAGGCCUACCAAGGCGACGACGGGUAGCCGGCCUGAGAGGGCGACCGGCCACACUGGGACUGAGACACGGCCCAGACUCCUACGGGAGGCAGCAGUGGGGAAUCUUGCGCAAUGGGCGAAAGCCUGACGCAGCGACGCCGCGUGGGGAUGAAGGCCUUCGGGUUGUAAACCCCUUUCAGCAGGGACGAAGCGAAAGUGACGGUACCUGCAGAAGAAGCGCCGGCUAACUACGUGCCAGCAGCCGC
rnacentral:rRNA from 1 species